UACGGAGGAUCCGAGCGUUAUCCGGAUUUAUUGGGUUUAAAGGGUGCGUAGGCGGUCUGUUAAGUCAGGGGUGAAAGACGGUAGCUCAACUAUCGCAGUGCCCUUGAUACUGAUGGGCUUGAAUGAACUAGAGGUAGGCGGAAUGUGAUAAGUAGCGGUGAAAUGCAUAGAUAUGUCACAGAACACCAAUUGCGAAGGCAGCUUACUAUGGUUUUAUUGACACUGAGGCACGAAAGCGUGGGGAUCAAACAGG
rnacentral:rRNA from 1 species